CCAAUAGCGUAUAUUAAAGUUGUUGCAGUUAAAAAGCUCGUAGUUGAAUUUCGGGAUCAAUAUAUCGGUCGUGCCUUGGUACGUACUGGUAUCAUUGAUUUCUCCCUUCUGACGAAUCAUGAUGUCAUUAAUUUGGUGUUAUGAGGAGUUAGGACUGUUACUUUGAACAAAUUAGAGUGUUUAAAGCAGGCAUUAGCUUGAAUACAUUAGCAUGGAAUAAUGAAAUAGGACGUUUGACCCUAUUUUGUUGGUUUCUAGGAUCGACGUAAUGAUUAAUAGGGAUAGUUGGGGGCAUUAGUAUUCAAUUGUCAGAGGUGAAAUUCUUGGAUUUAUUGAAGACUAACUACUGCGAAAGCAUUUGCCAAGGAUGUUUUCAUUAAUCAAGAACGAAAGUUAGGGGAUCGAAGACGAUCAGAUACCGUCGUAGUCUUAACCAUAAACUAUGCCGACUAGGGAUCGGAUGAUGUUAAUUUUAUAAUGACUCAUUCGGCGCCUUACG
rnacentral:rRNA from 1 species